rnacentral:rRNA from 1 species
UACGUAGGGUGCGAGCGUUAAUCGGAAUUACUGGGCGUAAAGCGUGCGCAGGCGGUUCGUUGUGUCGGUGGUGAAAUCCCCGGGCUUAACCUGGGAAUGGCCAUGGAAACUGGCGAACUGGAGUGUGGCAGAGGGGGGUGGAAUUCCGCGUGUAGCAGUGAAAUGCGUAGAGAUGCGGAGGAACACCGAUGGCGAAGGCAGCCUCCUGGGAUAACGACUGACGCUCAUGCACGAAAGCGUGGGGAGCAAACAGG